GCAUUGGUGGUUCAGUGGUAGAGUCAUCUCCUUCCAUGAGGGAAACCCAGGUUUGAUUCCCAGCCAAUGCA
rnacentral:tRNA from 1 species